GCCGAGCGGUAGAGAUUCUUCGGAAUCUUGAGAGCGGCGUACGGGUGCGGAACACGUGUGCAACCUGCCUUUAUCUGGGGGAUAGCCUUUCGAAAGGAAGAUUAAUACCCCAUAAUAUAUUGACUGGCAUCAGUUGAUAUUGAAAACUCCGGUGGAUAGAGAUGGGCACGCGCAAGAUUAGAUAGUUGGUGAGGUAACGGCUCACCAAGUCUACGAUCUUUAGGGGGCCUGAGAGGGUGAUCCCCCACACUGGUACUGAGACACGGACCAGACUCCUACGGGAGGCAGCAGUGAGGAAUAUUGGACAAUGGGUGAGAGCCUGAUCCAGCCAUCCCGCGUGAAGGACGACGGCCCUAUGGGUUGUAAACUUCUUUUGUAUAGGGAUAAACCUACUCUCGUGAGAGUAGCUGAAGGUACUAUACGAAUAAGCACCGGCUAACUCCGUGCCAGCAGCCGCGGUAAUACGGAGGGUGCAAGCGUUAUCCGGAUUUAUUGGGUUUAAAGGGUCCGUAGGCGGAUCUGUAAGUCAGUGGUGAAAUCUCACAGCUUAACUGUGAAACUGCCAUUGAUACUGCAGGUCUUGAGUGUUGUUGAAGUAGCUGGAAUAAGUAGUGUAGCGGUGAAAUGCAUAGAUAUUACUUAGAACACCAAUUGCGAAGGCAGGUUACUAAAAGCACACUGACGCUGAUGG
rnacentral:rRNA from 1 species